rnacentral:telomerase_RNA from 1 species
UAAUGUAGUACUUCGUAUGCGGUUUCGUCGGGUGGUAUCCCGGUGUUCCAGUGACAGCGGUUCCCCUUCCGUGUUUUUUUUUUUUCGGGGUUCCUAAGGAGAAGUAAAUCAAGCAACGAAAGGCAGCUCAGGUGGCGGAAGUUCAGUAUAUUAACGUUAUUUGUGCGCGUAUAUGUAGGUUACAUUUAGCUUUACCACUAGACAAAACCUCUCUCCCAUCCCUGGAAGGCAGUGUGUCUGUGUGCCUUGUUUUCUUCUUUUGCUGUGCCAACUGUACUACCGGUGAUGACUAAAGCGGGAAUAUUUCGCAUGUGUGUACGAAUACACAUCGCCGCUGCACCUGAACAAAAGAGGCAUAAAAAACACGCUUUGGAUGGCAAUACCGGCUCUGCAAGGCCCGCCGUAUGUUGUGAUGAACUCCGCGUGCUGUAUUUCCCAACGCUGCGAGCUCGCAUGUGCACAUUUUCUCCCGUUCACCGUUUAGCGUUUUCGGUUUCUUUCAACUGUGGAAAUUUGUCGUAAGUGUUGCAGUGGUUCCGCGAAGUUUGACGGUGAGCUAUACGCAGAUAUGCGCAGUAUGUUGCAUGACGGCGCGCCUGGCUGAGAAUCACCCUCUCGUGGGUGUUUUCUUGGCUAUACGAUCCCUAACCCUACUAGCUUUCACGUAGUGCUGUUGGUGUGCAAUACACCAGCUGCAGCCCAGUCCGGUGCCUCUUGCGGCUGAUGCUACGCAGAAAAGUGUAUAUGCUCCUCCUCUUCACGUCAUCAUUGUUCCUGCACUGCGACGGCGGAACCAGUUCUGUUGCUUUCCUCUCUAGCCGGUUUGUUUAUUUGACAAUCUUGUUAGACAGUUGAGGCGCCGAUUUCACGAAAAUGAGGCGGUGGUUUGUGUGCUGGCUGAGUACAACGGGGGAGGGUGAUGGUACAGUUCCUGCGGUUGGCAUUUCGGCGCCACACUUUCUCUUCCGUUCCUUCUUCAAACAUUGCUUCCGGCGUCGCUUUUCUUCAUCCUUGGCGGUGAAUGGUGCACCAUGUCUUCUUUCGAGCUGUACCCCCCCCCCCCCCCGCAUUCAGCAACUCUUCUUUCCUCUUCUUUUCCCGGCCACAUUGCUACAGCCACCUUAGGAGGGGGGAGACGGAUGUUGCGUUGCGGUGGGGAAUUGUCGAACUGAUGACAGAGUGGAACUUGUUUGAAACGUGUUGUGGGGGUGGAAAGCUGUUGGAUUCUUGCAGAACGUGUUGCUUUCUUCCGAUCUGAGGUAGUACCUGUUAUCACCUUUCCGAAGUGGAUUCCCCUUCUCUUCCUGUUGCUUCAGCUUACAUCAUUUAUUCCCUUCAUUGUCUUGUUCCCUUGACGAAAGUGUGUCCAGACGAAAUUCGUUUUAGCUUUUUUCUUGUGGAAGGAAGAGGUAAAGGUAGAUAUCGGGGAAGACACCCUGACGCAUUACCGCGCGUAGCCGUUUCCCCUAAAUUACAAGCUGCACUUCUCUCUUCAUUGUGACUUGACAGUAG